rnacentral:rRNA from 2 species
ACGACUCUCGGCAACGGAUAUCUCGGCUCUCGCAUCGAUGAAGAACGUAGCGAAAUGCGAUACUUGGUGUGAAUUGCAGAAUCCCGUGAACCAUCGAGUCUUUGAACGCAAGUUGCGCCCCAAGCCUUCAGGCCGAGGGCACGUCUGCCUGGGUGUCACAAAUCGUCGUCCCCAUCCUUCGCGGAUAA